CCUACGAGUGGCUGCAGUGAGGAAUAUUGGUCAAUGGGCGCGAGCCUGAACCAGCCAAGUCGCGUGAAGGAUGACGGCCCUACGGGUUGUCAACUUCUUUUGUCCGGGAGCAAUUGGGUCCACGCUUGGUCUUAGCGAGAGUACCGGAAGACAACGCAUCGGCUAACUCCGUGCCAGCAGCCGCGGUAAUACGGAGGAUGCGAGCGUUAUCCGGAUUUAUUGGGGUUAAAGGGUGCGGAGGCGGAAUAUAAAGUCAGCGGUAAAAAUUCGGGGCUCAAACCCGUCGUGCCGUUGAAACUGAUGUUCUUGAGUGGGCGAGAAGUAUCCGGAAUGCGUGGUGUAGCGGUGAAAUGCAUAGAUAUCACGCAGAACUCCGAGUGCGAAGGCAGCAUACCGGCGCCCAACUGACGCUGAAGCACGAAAGCGUGGGUAUCGAACAGGAUUAGAUACCCCAGUAGUC
rnacentral:rRNA from 1 species